CUCUGGAAAGAAACUUCAACAGCUAGCAACAUGGUUCAGUGGACAGACUUUGAGCGCGCCACCAUUCAGAGCGUCUUCGAGAAGAUGGACUACGAUGACGUUGGGCCCGCGGCUCUUUCCAGGUAGUGCGUGUCUGGUCGUGUACCCUGGACCCAGAGGUAUUUCGGUAACUUUGGAAACCUGUACAACGCCGCUGCCAUCCAGGGAAACCCAAUGGUCGCCGCUCACGGAAAGACGGUCCUGCGCGGACUGGACCGGGCUGUCAAGAACAUGGAUGACAUCAAGGCCACCUACGCAGAGUUGAGCGUGCUGCACUCCGAGAAAUUGCGCGUGGAUCCAGACAACUUCCGGCUGCUGGCUGACUGCCUUACUAUUGUCGUUGCUGCGAGAAUGGGUGCUGACUUCACCGCUGAUGUCCAGGGCGCUUUCCAGAAGUUCCUGGCCGUCGUUGUGAGCUCCCUGGGCAGACAGUACCACUAGAGCCCCUCCACUCCGAGACGGACGACCACCAGAGUACCAACAAGCACUGAUAAUUUGUUUAGAGGCACAUGGUUUUCCUUAUACUAAAGCAAAUAAAAACAGCAAAAUAAUA